rnacentral:snRNA from 1 species
AUCGCUUCUCGGCCUUUUGGCUAAGAUCAAGUGUAGUAUCUGUUCUUAUCAGUUUAAUAUCUGAUACGUCCUCUACCCGAGGACACUAAGAAAAAAAAAAAGAAAGGGAAGUCGCUCAGUCGUGUCCGACUCUUAGUGAUCCCAUGGACUGCAGCCCACCAGGCUCCUCUGUCCAUGGGAU